rnacentral:rRNA from 1 species
UACGGAGGGCGCAAGCGUUAAUCGGAAUUACUGGGCGUAAAGCGUGCGUAGGCUGUCUGAUAAGUCAGGCGUGAAAUCCCUCGGCUCAACCGGGGAACUGCGUUUGAUACUGUUGGACUCGAGUCCUGGAGAGGGUGGCGGAAUUCCUGGUGUAGGAGUGAAAUCCGUAGAUAUCAGGAGGAACACCGGUGGCGAAGGCGGCCACCUGGACAGGUACUGACGCUGAGGCACGAAAGCGUGGGGAGCAAACAGG